GGAGCCCAAGUGAGUAUUACACACGGACAGCACAGCAAACCAGGCAUUCUGAUAGCGUCUAGUUUCCCUUCGUGAAAAGGACUUUUCCCACAACCUCAUCUCAUCCCCUUGUUUCCUAUGCAGACAAGUUUAGAACAUGAGACACCUUGGCUAUCAGUUUCACUAUCCGCAUGGACAUCUAAUGGGAACAGUAACCUGCUCUAAGCAUGGCCUGAUGAAGGGACAUUCCCGAAACGCGUAGCAGCAGGAGAGUGGAGUAUCCAUUGAAUUAUCAACAGGUGUAAGGCUGACCAGACGAUUGGGACGUGGACGAGGGAACCCGGUUCCGGAGCCAGUUACCCUAAGGUUACAUCUGAUACGCUCACUGAUCACUUUCAUCUGGUAAUCCUCCACCUUUAUUACCCCACAUUUGGGUGAAAAAUAAGUGUUUUUAGGAAUUUUAUCUGCAUUUUAUGUGCACCUUUUUUUAUGUAUGAAU